rnacentral:tRNA from 1 species
GGAGGGGUAGCGAAGUGGCUAAACGCGGCGGACUGUAAAUCCGCUCCUUCGGGGUUCGGCAGUUCGAAUCUGCCCCCCUCCA